GUCUAUGGCCAUGUCACCCUGAACAAACCCAAUCCCGUCUAAUCUCGGAAGCUAAGCAGGGUCAGAUCUGGUUAGUACUUGGAUGGGAGACCACCUAGGAAGACCAGGUGCUGUAGGUG
rnacentral:rRNA from 1 species